CAAUCCCUCCGCCUGUCUGUCCUCGCCUCUUAUUCAUUUCUCUCUCCUCUCGGAUACUUUUCUCUCGCAUUGCCGUCGUCCCCGGCGCGACCCUAAAACCCUAAAAAUCUUUUUUUCUUCUCCUUCCUUCUUGUCGGAAGGAGAAUCCAUAGAAGAAAGGAAAUCCUCCUCGAUCUCGAUCUCUCUAUAGGGAGGAGAAGGGAAUUUAAGAAGAGGGAGCGAUGGAUUCGGAUCAGGGAAAGCUGUUCAUCGGGGGGAUAUCGUGGGAGACGACGGAGGAGAAGAUGAAGGAGUAUUUCUCCAACUACGGGGAGGUGCUUCAGACGGUGAUCAUGAGGGAUAAGGCGACGGGUCGCCCCAGGGGCUUCGGCUUCGUUGUCUUCGCCGAUCCCUCCAUCCUCGACCGCGUCCUCCAGGACAAGCACAACAUCGACGGUCGGACGGUGGAAGCAAAAAGGGCUCUCUCAAGAGAGGAACAACAGGCCUCCAAAUCUGGAAACCCUAAUGUUGGCAGAAGUGGUGGAGGACCUGUUAGUGGUGGUAACUUUAGGACUAAAAAAAUAUUUGUAGGAGGGUUGCCCCCAACUUUAACAGAAGAAAUAUUUUGUCAGUACUUUCAGAGCUAUGGAGAGGUGGAGGAUGUUGUGGUGAUGUAUGAUCAAAACACCCAUCGUCCUCGAGGGUUUGGUUUUGUCUCUUUUAAAUCAGAAGAUGCUGUUGAUCGAGUUUUACACAAGACCUUCCAUGAGCUCAAUGGAAAACUUGUGGAGGUCAAGCGUGCACUCCCAAAGGAUGCAAACCCUAGCAAUGCUAGUGGCCGUCUAGUAGCUGGAGGUCCCUAUCAAACCAACAGUGCUUCUGGUGUCAAUAUGAGUUCCUAUGAUGGUAGAGCUGAUGCCGGUAGGUAUAUGCAACCACCAGCUGCUGGUGGUGGUUACCCAGCAUAUGGUUCAACAGGCUAUGCUACACCUGGAUAUGGGUAUGGAGCAGCUAACAAUGGUGUAGGAUAUGGAGGUUAUGGUGUUGGUGGCUAUGGAAGUCCUACAGCUGGAUAUGGUGGACCUGCUGGAGCCUAUGGAAAUCCAAAUGCUCCAGCUGCAGGUUAUGCAAGUGGUCCACCAGGUGCACCUCGAAGCCUGUGGAGCAACCAAGCUCCAUCUGCUUAUGGCUCUGCAGGCUAUGGUGCAAAUGCAAGCUAUGGGGCACCAGGUGCAUGGAAUGCUGCAGGUAGUGGUGGAGCAGCCCCACCUGCUGGUCAGUCUCCCAGCGGGACUACUGGAUAUGGGAAUCAGGGUUAUGGGUAUGGGGGUUAUGGUGGAACCGAGGGGUCUUAUGGCAGUCAUGGUGGCUAUGGGCCUGUUGGCGGACGUGGCAGUGGCGGUCCAACUAACAAUCCUGCUGUUGGCCCAGGAGAACAAGGGGCUGGUUCUGGGUAUAUGGGUGGUGGCUAUGGUGAUGCAAGUGGUGGCUCUGGUUAUCCAAAUUCAUGGAGAGCUGACCCUUCUCAAGGAGUGGGUUAUGGAAGUAGCCAAGUCAAUGGGCCUCCUGGUGGGCCAACUGGUUAUGGUGGUGCCUAUGGUGGUGCUCAGUCGAGGCAGGUUCAGCAGCAGUGAUCAUGAUGGUGGAAUCAUAAUUCCACUUUGGAAUUCAGCCUCAAGAAUUGGUUGUUGAAUUUUGUGAAGAGGCCUGCAUCACUUGGUUUUCUUGCCUGUUAGGAGGACUGGCUGUUGCUGAGGAAAGCAGUUUUCUGGGACGGGGGCUGCUGCUCUUGUUCUAUCCUCUCCACCAACAUUGAAGCCUUUCAUCGGGUGAGCUUAUAAAGCACCGAGGAACCUCUUUUCAUAGUCUGGCGAUAACUUGUGCGCUGGAGGAUGCUUUCAAACCUGAUAAUUUGUUUUUAUUCAUCACACUGAAAGUGGCUCUUGACUAAAUCAAUUGUUGAAGGGUGUUGCUUGCACUUCACAGCAGGUGAUCUUUUGAAGUAAAUCAUCCCAUGUCCUUCAUUACCUAUUGGGUAGCCUCAUUCAUUUUUGUUGCUGGUACUUAGGAUUUGUUUAAAAAUUAUUUUAGGGAUUGUUAACGAGUCUUGUGAAAUAAUUGAUUAAAAAUUUGAUUAAACAAAUCUUU